rnacentral:lncRNA from 1 species
UUAAAAAAAAUUUGUUCGAAAAAGUAGAAUAAAGUAAUGUAAUUUUUUUUUUCUUUUCUCCCUCCUCAUCUGGUUCUCUUUCAUUUUUCCUCUCCCUUUGAACAAUUUCUCUAGCUCUCUUUCCUUUUAUAUCUAUCCUACACAAUCUAUGAAAAAAAAAUUUGGAUAUUUGAAUUUCAAUAUUGAAUAUGAAAUCACAGAAUUAUGUUUUCAAAGUUAAAGGCUUAUCUUUGGGUGUCCAAACACUCCCCUUCUCUCACACAAGCACCCUAUAACAACCGACUCAAAUCGCCCCAAAACUCAUCAAAUUCAAUCCCCAUCCUCAACAAUAACAAAAUCUUUCAGUUCUUCACACCCAAACCCAAAAAUCCAUAAACUCAAUUCACCAAUUUUCCCCAUAAACAACACCCAAAAAUAAUGAAAAAUCUGAUUUUGACCCUUUUGAUCUGCCUCCUGUUUGCUUUGUCAAAUGGGUAUGAAGGAACCAAGGUCGGAGGCAAGUGACAAAUUGAAGAUGUGACGACAAACAAGGAGGUUUAGGAGUUGGAGAGGUUUUCGAUGGAGCAAGACAAUCGGAGCCAGUUAAAGAGCCACCAGAGCAAUGUCGGCGAAGAGAUUUAGUUCUUGGAGGUGGUGGAUGAGCAGGGGCGGAUGGUUUAUGGGAUCAAGUACUAUCUCAAGGUCUCUGCUGUGAAGGUGGUGAAGCUCGGAACAGAGAAAGAAAAAGGGAGAGAUAAAGAGAGAUAGGGAGGAAUUGUUGGGGAGGGGUCGGGUACACAGAGAAAGAGAGGAAGAGAAGAGAGGAGGGGAGGGGAAAGAAGUAAUAAUUUUCUAAACUUUUUUUUUCCUAUUUGUUAUAUUUAUUAAAAUAAAAUAUUUUAUUAUUUUUUACACAUGACAUAAAACAGUGGGUCUUAUUUAUGCCACAUCAACAUUUUAACAGAACUUUU